rnacentral:rRNA from 1 species
GACGAACGCUGGCGGCGUGCUUAACACAUGCAAGUCGAACGGUAAGGCCCUUCGGGGUACACGAGUGGCGAACGGGUGAGUAACACGUGGGUGAUCUGCCCUGCACUUCGGGAUAAGCCUGGGAAACUGGGUCUAAUACCGGAUAGGACUCCGGACUGCAUGGUCUGGGGUGGAAAGCUUUUGCGGUGUGGGAUGGGCCCGCGGCCUAUCAGCUUGGUGGUGGGGUGAUGGCCUACCAAGGCGACGACGGGUAGCCGGCCUGAGAGGGUGACCGGCCACAAUGGGACUGAGAUACGGCCGAGACUCCUACGGGAGGCAGCAGUGGGGAAUAUUGCACAAUGGGCGCAAGCCUGAUGCAGCGACGCCGCGUGAGGGAUGACGGCCUUCGGGUUGUAAACCUCUUUCAGCAUCGACGAAGCGAAAGUGACGGUAGGUGCAGAAGAAGGACCGGCCAACUACGUGCCAGCAGCCGCAGUAA